rnacentral:antisense_RNA from 1 species
CAAUCAGGGGAACUAAAACCAGUAGUACCAGUCCAGGUACCAGCAUAGCCACAGCCCACAAGCCCCAAUCAAGCUGCACCCCUAAAAUUUUCUUACUAAAUUCGAUCAUAAGAAGAUUGGGCGCCAUGGCCGUAGCAAACAUAAAACUGGUAACCUUCAUAACAAAAUAGAUAUUUAACAUCAAAUAAGAACCAGCUUUUUUUGCUGUUGCUCCCGGUUCAGAACCUAUGGUUUUUACCACUGAAAGGAUGAU